rnacentral:lncRNA from 11 species
AACCACUCCCAUUGCUCUGGGAAAACAACUGACACCCAAACAGGUCAUACAGGGAGAGCUCAACAGAAUGCCAAUACCGGGCGGUCCCCUCAUGGUUGGGGGGUUAUGUAAGGGGGAGAAAGGGUCCCGCCCUGGAGUUGGAAAGAAGCUGUUCCUUUAAAACACCAACAAGAUUAAAGGACACUGAAUCAAAGCAAGCAGCAAGACAGAUGUGGAGUAAUUGGAAGGAGGGAGGGAGGAGUGGAAGAAGGGAGAUAAGAGGGAGAGAUGGGGAAGAAGGGAAGGCUCAGUUGGAUCUGAGUUGUUGGCAUGUCUGAAAGAAAGCUGAAAUAAAG